rnacentral:tRNA from 1 species
GGUCACUAGCCGGGUGCCCCACCCUCUCUCCUAAAGCGGGUGUCGCAGGUUCGAAUCCUGCUGGGACCUC